rnacentral:rRNA from 1 species
GACGAACGCUGGCGGCGUGCUUAAUACAUGCAAGUCGACUGGAACGGUCCAGCUUGCUGGGUACUCGAGUGGCCAAAGGGUGAGUAACCCGUGGGUUAAUCGCCCUUCACUUUUGGCUUAGCUCAGGAAAAUCGGUCCUAUACCGGAUUUAAUCAACUGCCGCACGGUGGUUGGUGGAAAGAUUAUGCGGCUGCGGAUGGGCCCGCGGCGUGUCAGUUUGUUGGUGGGGUAAUGGCCUACCAGGGCGACGACGGGUAGCCGCCCUAAGAGGAUGAUCGGCCACACAGGGACUAGAACACGGCCCGAACUCGUACGAGGGGCAGCAGUGGGGUAGAAUAAACAAUGAACGCAAGCCGGAUGCAGCGGCACCGCGUGAUGUAGGACGGCCUUCUGGUUGUAGACCUCUAACACCAGGGACGAAGCGUAAGUGACGGUACCUGGAGAAGAAGCACCGGCCAACUACGUG